UACGUAGGGUGCAAGCGUUGUCCGGAAUUAUUGGGCGUAAAGAGCUCGUAGGCGGUUUGUCGCGUCGAAUGUGAAAACCCGGGGCUCAACCCCGGGCCUGCAUUCGAUACGGGCAGACUAGAGUUCGGUAGGGGAGUCUGGAAUUCCUGGUGUAGCGGUGAAAUGCGCAGAUAUCAGGAGGAACACCAAUGGCGAAGGCAGAUCUCUGGGCCGUAACUGACGCUGAGGAGCGAAAGCGUGGGGAGCGAACAGG
rnacentral:rRNA from 1 species